UACGGGGGGGGCAAGCGUUGUUCGGAAUUAUUGGGCGUAAAGAGCUCGUAGGCGGUUUGUCGCGUCUGCUGUGAAAACUCGGGGCUUAACUCCGGGCCUGCAGUGGGUACGGGCAGACUAGAGUGCGGUAGGGGAGACUGGAAUUCCUGGUGUAGCGGUGAAAUGCGCAGAUAUCAGGAGGAACACCUAUUGCGAAGGCAGCUCGCUGGGACGUUACUGACGCUGAGACGCGAAAGCGUGGGGAGCAAACAGG
rnacentral:rRNA from 1 species